AAAAAAAGGAAUUGAAAAAGGAAAACCAGAAUAAGAAAAAUUAAAGUAAUUGGUAAUGGAGAUUAGAUAUACUUGGGGUGUUGCUAUCGUAUAUACCAUUUGAUUUCCCUCUAAAACCAAAAUUUAAGUGAGAAAAAACUUCCCAAAAUCUCCCGUUCAUACUAAAAUCCCUUCUGAAUACAUCAUCAUCAGAUUCAUAGUCCACCUAAAAGUGAAAACCCUAAAACCCGUGGGAGAUAGGGGGAUCACAUAUAUUGUCGUUUGAUCCAAUUCACCUGGUAUGCCUUGGCGAUUUAUAGAUGUUGAAAGUGGACAUACACUGCAUCUAGUGAAUAGACAACCAUCUGAAUUUCAACCCUCAUCAGGCUCUCCCAAUGUGGAGACAGCUGCAAGGAAAGCAACGCAGGACAAGAUGAUAAUGUGACCGGUACACGUCCUCGCGUCGGGCAUGUCUCACAUAGUGUAGUUCUUGGGACAUUCGGCGUAGGAGAGCAAGAUGAAGGCGACAGUCCAGAUGUAAAUCAGGGCCUCAUCGCUAGUACCAGCACAAUGCAACCACACAUGCAGUUCAGUAUGCCCAUGCAAGUUGCUCUUGGAAAUGAGACGGGAAAUCAGUCGCAGCCUAGAAGUCCUCGUCAAUCAAUGCCUCAAGGGUAUCAAAUCCCAGUAGGAUCAGUGCCAGCUGUACCUACACUUGCGACGGUGGCUUUUUUACCAAACAAGAUAUUAAGAGCCUACCAUGUUUACAAUUACAGGUGAUGGCAAUUCCGACAACCAGGGGUAUUGAAAAAACCACCCAAUCUUUUGGCUGAAGAGCUUAAAGUGAUGUCAAAAGAAGUUGAGUAUAGCCAGUUGGCUGAUGUAGCGACAAUAAGUAGCAAGUGCUGGGAACUAUGAAGUGGAAUAUUACUACUAAGAAGGCGGUAACACGAUGAUUAUUUAACUCGCAUGAAGAUUGUGAAAGAGAUUCAUGAACACA
rnacentral:lncRNA from 1 species